ensembl:processed_transcript Gm15927 predicted gene 15927
GUCUAGGUUGUUAUCUGAUCCUCGUAGUCGUUCCCCAAGUGCGUCGGCUUGGUAUAUCUUUAAAACUCAGUGCUUUCUAAAGGAUGAAGAAGGAAAGAAGGAAUCAGGAACAUCGCAGAAGCGACUGAGAAACAGUUAGCAGACUGGGACCUCUCCUGUAGUUGCAAGGACUCUAGCUGCAGAGGAAACUGAGCUUUGCCCUACCUCGGUUACAUCUGUAAUGGCUACUCACUAGAGUUCUGUUUCGCUUCUUAAGGAGUAAACUUCCCUGACCACCCUUGCCGAGUGCUUAGUAUCCAUAAAGCACUCCAUAACCUUGUAGGUUGAAAACGUGAGCAUCACGUUUUCAUGAAUUGGG